CAGUCGCCGCGGGAAAACGUAGGUGGCAAGCGUUGUCCGGAAUUAUUGGGCGUAAAGCGCGCGCAGGUGGUUUAAUAAGUCUGAUGUGAAGGCCCACGGCUCAACCGUGGAGGGUCAUUGGAAACUGUUAAACUUGAGUGCAGGAGAGAAAAGUGGAAUUCCUAGUGUAGCGGUGAAAUGCGUAGAGAUUAGGAGGAACACCAGUGGCGAAGGCGGCUUUUUGGCCUGUAACUGACACUGAGGCGCGAAAGCGUGGGGAGCAAACAGGAUUAGAUACCCCCGUAGUCCCUGUCUCUUAUAA
rnacentral:rRNA from 1 species